CUCCUGGCACUGCUCAUGUUGAUGAGGCAGCGCUGGGGUCGGGCAGCAGCUGCGUGGCUGCGGCCAAGCGCACUGCCAAGCCCCCUUGUCCGGUUCCUGCACCGCGGCACUGGCCGCCACUGAACUCGAUAUUGUUUUUCCAAGUGGCCUCUGCCUGAAGAUGAGGAGCAUCUCUCUGCAAGGUCCCGCGAGAGAGUUAAACCUUUCUCCACUCCACUCCUUCCCCCAUCACCACCAUCUCUCCCGCCAGGACAGAUCCUUGUGAGUGCCAGGAGGGAGAGAAGGGUUGACGUCUUUCCCAUCACUAACCCGGUCCCUUCUCCGCCUCUGCAGAUUUUGUGAUCCAACGCCCGAUUCAGCUUAUUCAAAAGGAGCCACUUUCAUUUUUGUAGGGCUGGCUCAAAACGAGGAAAGUAAGACAGGCAGCAAACGCCGCUGAAACGAGCGCGGUGCCAAACCAGUCCCUUCCGGGGGUAGAUUUUCUGGGGGAAACCGCGGGGCAGGCCGGCAAACACUGUUCUUCUCCAAAACGGUUACAUACAGUUUUCAAGAAGAGGUCCCAUGAUAAAAAGUAAUGCAUGGUUCAUUUUAAAGGGGACGGAGGAAGCAAACAGAAGAAAAAGCAACAGAAAUGACUGAAGCCGCUCUGCAAGGCGCCAGUUCCCAGAGGAGAAAACUGAAGGCCAGAAAGGGUGACUCCCCUGAUUGUCGCGCCACAAAUUGAGUGAUGGAGCCAGGACACAUCCUAAACCAGCGGUGCCUGCCUGCAAGCCCCAUCCUCCCCCGGAGCAGCCAGACUGCAUAGGGAAUGAGGGGACCAAAAACAGUGUGGCCGAAGCUUCCCCACUGCUUUGCGGGAGGUGGGGGGAGUUUCUAAGCUCUUUCUCUGUCGGGGAAUUAGGUAGCUGGGGGUCCCACUGAGUCUGCACCACCCUCUCACCCAUUCUCACCCCUCCCCCACCGCACAUACACUCUCCUCCCCCAGUGCUGAGUAAGUUGCAUUUUCUGGAACAUAGCUCUCUACUUAAGGUCUCUGUGCCUGUGCCUGCAUCUCCCCUCUUCCUGAAACAUCCCUCCUUCCCUGCAGCAUGGGCUAGUGUGACCUAGAGAAGCAGGUGGGAACCUUGUCAUCUGCGGGACUUGGGUUCAAAUCCCACUUCUGGCCCUUAAGUCUGUGACGCUGCGCCUUUAUUUAAUAACUGGAGGAGUUUCAUUAGGAAAAUGGCAGUGACUGCGCAUCUCCCUGGAGUGACUGACGUGCCACCGACAAAGUUCUAUUCGGUCAGUGCUAGGUCCCGUCGUCCAUCUCGCAGGCUCCUCUUCCAUCCUCGUGCUCCCACUCAGUGCCCUUUCCUCUGCCUCCCACUCUCUGCCCUGCUGUUCGUGCCCGCAUCACUUCUUCCCCAGGGCAGAAGCCCCGAAUUCUUCACUCCCAAACGUCCCAGUGCCAUCACAGUGCCAUGGCAAUUUAUUCGGCACUGGGGGAGUAGAGUGUAUGUGUGGUGGGGGGGGGGUUGGAGAAUGGGUGAGAGGGUGAUGGAGACUCAGUGGGACCCUCAGCUACUAAAUUCACCCAAGGGACUGUCUGCUGAACUGGACCCACUCCUGUGAUGGUUCACAGCCUAGAAGAACCAUUUGUAACCACGGUGACCAGUAAGUGCAAGACAUGGGGCCACAUGGCUGUUUUAGAGAAGGAAGACAGCACUACCCUGAGAGCCAUGCUGCUGGCUUCAUCAGGAAGAGAGACAACAUGGGCAGGACUCCGGGGCCAAAGUGUCCCUAAGAAGCAGAAUUUGCAAUACCCAAGGUUUUAGAAAGAGCAACCUGGAAGGGCCACUGCACCACGAGAUCACAGGAUCCUCUCCCAGCUGUGAGUGCAGCUCACCCCAGCUGCUCUGACCCAGGCACGGGUUAUGACAAAGACAAGCAGCUCUACAGAGGGGCCUCGAGAAAUCCUCUGAAACAGAGAAAUCAAAGUCCUGUGGACUGUCCACCUGGGAGGCUGUUAGCGUGCGUGCCUGCGUGCAUCCAUCGGUGGGCAGACGAAGAAGGAGGUGGGAACAAUUACCACCUUGAGGAAUGAGGCCCCAAAGCUGAGUCUCUGCUAUGGCAUCCGCCUUCUUCUCACGAAGACCUGCAGCUUGAAAGGAGGGGAGGGAGAAGUAGCCCAAAGCUCCAGGAAGACCAAGCCCAGCCGCUGUGAUGAUUCCAAGGAAAUUCAGGAAAUCCUUGCUAAUGGCCAGACUUCCCGGGUUUGAGAUGCAAAAGGAAAUCAGAUCCCCAGGGUAAUGCUUUUACACUAAGCAAGAAAUUGCAGGAUAUAAAGCUGUGCAGACCGCUGCCCCUAAUUAAGAAAGCAAUUCUGAGACUCCAGCCUGGAAGGAACUGGUCCUCGGUGUCGACUGUAGUCAAUUCUGGGUGGAGGGGUGAUGGGGGAUAAUGUCUUCUUUUUAUUUUCUAUACUGCGGGGGGCGGGGAUGGGCAGUUAAAAAUCAAAGGAAGGAAACAUAAAGCUAAAUCCUUUUCCAUCCAUAGCCGUUCAAGCUACUGCCUGGUCACGUUCUCCUUGAAGCUGGGGCUCCUCUCUCAGGCCCCACCUAACAUGGCCUGGCUCCUUCCUGGGGUCACUCCUUGUUCCUCAAGCACUUCAAAUUCAACCUCUCCUGCCUCUGAGCUCAGCAUCUGGGCCUCUCCCCUUUCUUUAUAAGCUCCAUCCAUGACAGCCUUCUGUGGGUCAGCCACAUGCUUCACACCAAAUGAAAGAAGAAGCUUGUUCCAAAUCUAUGUGGUUUUUUUGACAUUUUAGAGAGCAGACGCUUUCCUACGCUAAUUCCCUAUUACAUCUAUACGUCUUUUUAAAAAGUCUUCAAGUCUUUUUAGUGUCCAACAUCACUUAUUCCCUCCCUUUCUUUUUCCCCCGUUUCACCUGCCCCAGUCCUCAGGACAAGUGCUGCUGUUUCCUGCACAGCGCACACAGUGAACCCUGAAAGCAUGCUGCUAAAUGAAAGAAGCCAGGUACAAAAGACAACAUACUAUAUGAUUUCAUAAGAAAUGGAUAUAACAGGAAAAUCUACAGAGACAGAAAAUAAAUUCGUAGUGGUUUAGGGGCUGGGAGAGUGGGACGAGACCUCUCUAUAGAGGCGGCAGUGCCCGGGAUUUCUUUGAAGAUGUUUAGAUAUCACAGCAUAAUCAGACAAUAGUGAGGACAGUCUGGCAUUGGUAUACAGAUGACAAAUAGAUCCAUGCAAUAGAAGGGAAGCCAAACCAGAUUCCAACCUGCCUCCAGUCACCUGAUUCAACAAAGUCAAAGUCACAAAUCAAUAGGGAGAGGAUGGUCUUUUCAGUAAAUGAUACUGUAUCAAUUGACUCGUCAUAUAGAGAGAAAAAAGGAGCCUUGGUCCCGUGCACACACAAGACACAAAAGUUCCUUCAAAGUGCAUCUUAGACCUACAUUCAAAAACAAAAGCAACGCAGGGUCCAGGAGAAAGGGCCCAGGCAGGAGAAUAUUUUUAUGACCUUGGGCUAAGCAAGAGAUUCAUUAACAGGACAUAAAAACCACUAACCACCAAGAAAAAAUGACUGAUAAAUAUGACAAUUAAAAUGAAGGAUUUAUGUUUAUCAAAAAUAAAAAGGGGAACCAUCAACUGGGAGAACAUAGUUUCGAUACUUAUAUCUAACCGAGAAUUUAUAUUCAGGUUAGAUGACUCAAAAACAAAAACGUAAGCAAUCCACUAAGAACAAAUUCUGGGUGGAAGACUUCACAGAAGAUCUACAGAUGACCAGUGACCUCAGGAAAACACGGAUUAAAACAGCAAGGAGACACGCCCACGAGCUGCGUGACAGUUUUGAAAAUGAAGUGAAACCCUGAGGCUGGCAGAAUACUAAGGUGGUGUCACAGAUUCCCACCCUUGGUGUCCGUGCCCCGCACUACCCACUUGAGUAGGGGAAGACCUGUGGAUAUGAUGGGUGUCUCCUCUGUGAUCAGGUUAUAUCAUAUGUCAAAGACAGAGGGAUUUGGUGAUUAAGGUCUCUAAUCAGUUUACCUUCAAGUUCAUCAAAAGUGAGAGUGGCCGAGGUUGGCGUGACCUACUCAGGUGAGCCCUUUAAAAGAGAGCUCAGGCCUGCCCUGAGCUUGGAGAGAUUUUCCAGCUAGAAUUGAAGAAACAAGCAGCUGUGAGUUCAGCUUCACAGAAACAAAUUUGGCCAACAGUCAUGUGAGCUCCAUUAGAAAUGCACCCCAAGCCCCCUCAACCUCUCCCAUCCCCAACGGCACCAAUCUCCUGAUUAUCUAUACCUGAUAGCAGGGCAGGAACUAGACUCUGAGCCCCGUAAGGACAGACUUGUCUGUCAGUGCAUUUAACUAUCUGUCCCAGAACCUUGCACAGAGUCCAGCACAUAUCAAGAACACAGCACAUUUUUAUUGAGACAGGCUCUUUAAAGCUGAAAUCUAAAACCAAUGGCCCCUAAAUUCAGCAAAAAAAGGUUAAUGUAACACCUGUGCUUUUAUUACCCAUUUCUACAGAUAGAAGGGUUGGUUGUAUGCGGCUAUCACAAGUGAAAUGCAGAAUCAGUUAAUAAAAUUUUCAUCUGAAUUUAAAGAAAAUCCUAAAUAAUAAGAUUUCCUUAUUGCAGUUUUGUUGGUACCACCGUGGAGUAGAUUGCACUAUUCAAAUAAUCAUUGCCUUCCCUAUAGAAGAAUUAUAUUAGGUUAAACCAAAUACAGUUGAGAUAUUCAAUCACUUUUGACGUCAUAAAAUGCCAGUCUUGUAUGGAUUUUCAACCUAAUUCUUCCCUGCCCCUUUAAUGUCCAAGUUGACCAUGUCAUUUUCUAUGGCCAAUAAAAUAUGAUCUUUAGUGGCACAUGUCAUUUCUUAACAAAGUCUUAGUGAGUGCAUGUUGGCCAGCGUGCCUUUUCCCUCUGCCGUGACCACCAGACAUU